UUAAUUAGGCAAACCAUCCGAAAGGAUGGGACUGCAAAACUAUCAGGGACUAAGGAUUUACAAGGAUGUUUUCUAUGUCAGCCAGUUGC
rnacentral:ncRNA from 1 species